UACGGAGGGUGCAAACGUUGCUCGGAAUCAUUGGGCGUAAAGCGCACGUAGGCGGUCCAGCAAGUCGGGUGUGAAAGCCCUCGGCUUAACCGAGGAAGUGCAUUCGAAACUACUGGACUUGAAUACUGGAGAGGAUCGCGGAAUUCCCGGUGUAGAGGUGAAAUUCGUAGAUAUCGGGAGGAACACCAGUGGCGAAGGCGGCUCACUGGUCCGGUACUGACGCUGAGGUGCGAAAGCGUGGGAGCAAACAGG
rnacentral:rRNA from 1 species